rnacentral:rRNA from 1 species
CUUCCUACGGGAGGCAGCAGUGAGGAAUAUUGGUCAAUGGGCGGAAGCCUGAACCAGCCAAGUCGCGUGAGGGAAUAAGGCCCUACGGGUCGUAAACCUCUUUUGCCGGGGAGCAAGGGCGGGGACGUGUCCCGGCCCGGAGAGUACCCGGAGAAAAAGCAUAGGCUAACUCCGUGCCAGCAGCCGCGGUAAUACGGAGGAUGCGAGCGUUAUCCGGAUUUAUUGGGUUUAAAGGGUGCGUAGGCGGGCUUUUAAGUCAGCGGCAAGAAUUCGGUGCGCAAACCCGU